AUUGAACGCUGGCGGCAGGCCUAACACAUGCAAGUCGAGCGGAUGAAGGGAGCUUGCUCCUGGUUUCAGCGGCGGACGGGUGAGUAAUGCCUAGGAAUCUGCCUGGUAGUGGGGGAUAACGUCCGGAAACGGGCGCUAAUACCGCAUACGUCCUGAGGGAGAAAGUGUGGGAUCUUCGGACCUCACGCUAUCAGAUGAGCCUAGGUCGGAUUAGCUAGUUGGUGGGGUAAAGGCCUACCAAGGCGACGAUCCGUAACUGGUCUGAGAGGAUGAUCAGUCACACUGGAACUGAGACACGGUCCAGACUCCUACGGGAGGCAGCAGUGGGGAAUAUUGGACAAUGGGCGAAAGCCUGAUCCAGCCAUGCCGCGUGUGUGAAGAAGGUCUUCGGAUUGUAAAGCACUUUAAGUUGGGAGGAAGGGCAGUAAGUUAAUACCUUGCUGUUUUGACGUUACCAACAGAAUAAGCACCGGCUAACUUCGUG
rnacentral:rRNA from 1 species